rnacentral:rRNA from 1 species
GACGAACGCUGGCGGCGUGCUUAACACAUGCAAGUCGAGCGGUAAGGCCCUUUCGGGGGUACACGAGCGGCGAACGGGUGAGUAACACGUGGGUGACCUGCCCUUAGCUCUGGGAUAAGCCUGGGAAACUGGGUCUAAUACCGGAUAUGACUCCAUGACGCAUGUUGUGGGGUGGAAAGCCUUGUGCGGCUAGGGAUGGGCCCGCGGCCUAUCAGCUUGUUGGUGGGGUGAUGGCCUACCAAGGCGACGACGGGUAGCCGGCCUGAGAGGGCGACCGGCCACACUGGGACUGAGACACGGCCCAGACUCCUACGGGAGGCAGCAGUAGGGAAUCUUCCGCAAUGGACGAAAGUCUGACGGAGCAACGCCGCGUGAACGAUGAAGGCUUUCGGUCGUAAGUU